rnacentral:pre_miRNA from 1 species
CACCUACUCCCUUCGUUCGGAAUUAUUUGUCAUAGAAAUGGAUGUAUCUAGACAUUUUUUAGUUCUAGAUACAUCCAUUUCUGCGACAAGUAAUUUGGAACGGAGGGAGUAAUAG